ACCUAAAAGUCUCCUCUCUCCUCUCUCUCCUCUUCGUGACCAUUUUCUUUCCCUCUCCUCGCAACGCAAGCAACACAGAGAAGAGAAGAUUGGUCUUCCUUCCUUCUGAAACGAGAAUCGUAAUACUAGCUUUCUUUCUCAACCUCUGUAACCAAGCAAGCAUAAAUCGAAAUAUUGUAUAGAAUUAGGGGAGAAUCCAUUUUGUUGUUUCUCUCCUUCAUUUCAUAGUAAUAAUCUCUCAAACCAAAACAGCGGUAAUAAUUAACCUAACCCUAACAGAAAAAUGGUGAAGGUUCGCAUGAACACCGCCGAUGUCGCCGCCGAGGUCAAAUGCCUCCGCCGCCUCAUCGGAAUGCGAUGCUCCAACGUCUACGAUCUUUCUCCCAAGACCUACGUGUUCAAGCUUAUGAACAGCAGUGGAGUUUCCGAAUCUGGGGAGAGCGAGAAGGUUCUGCUGCUGAUGGAAAGUGGCGUGAGAUUGCACACUACUCUCUACUUGCGUGACAAGAGCAACACUCCCUCUGGUUUCACUCUCAAAUUGAGGAAGCACAUUCGAACCAGAAGGCUCGAGGAUGUGCGCCAACUUGGGUACGAUCGGAUUAUUCUCUUUCAAUUUGGACUUGGGGAGAAUGCAAACUAUGUCAUAUUGGAGCUGUAUGCUCAGGGGAACAUCCUCCUCACAGAUUCUACUUUUACUGUCAUGACUCUGCUACGGUCUCACAGGGAUGAUGAUAAAGGGCUUGCAAUUAUGUCACGCCAUCGUUAUCCUGUGGAAAGCUGUAGAGUUUUUGAGCGAACUACUAUUGAAAAGUUGCGGACAUCCCUAGUGUCUUCCAAGGAAGAUGAUAACGAUGAUGCUGUUAAGGCCGAUGGAAAUGGAAGUAAUGCAUCUAAUGUAGCAAAAGAGAAGCAGGGAACCCACAAAGGUGGGAAGUCAUCUGCCACAUUGAAAAUUGUCCUUGGGGAGGCCCUUGGUUAUGGACCUGCACUUUCUGAACAUAUACUAUUAGAUGCUGGCCUAAUCCCCAGUACAAAAGUUCCCAAAGAUAGAACGUGGGAUGAUGCUACUGUUCAGGCGCUGGUCCAAGCUGUUGUGAGGUUUGAAGAUUGGAUGCAGGAUGUUAUUUCAGGUGAAUUAGUCCCUGAAGGAUACAUUUUGAUGCAAAACAAAAAUAUGGGGAAGGAUUCUUCCAUAUCUCAACCAGGAAGUGUUAGCCAGAUGUAUGAUGAGUUCUGCCCCAUCUUACUCAACCAGUUUAAGUCAAGGGAUUAUACAAAGUUUGAGACAUUCGAUGCAGCCUUGGAUGAGUUCUAUAGCAAAAUUGAGAGCCAAAGAUCUGAACAACAGCAGAAAGCCAAAGAAAACUCAGCUUCUCAGAAACUUAAUAGGAUUCGCCAGGAUCAGGAAAAUCGAGUACAUGCUUUGAGGAAAGAAGCUGAUCACUGUGUUAAGAUGGCAGAAUUGAUAGAAUAUAACUUGGAAGAUGUGGAUGCUGCUAUAUUAGCUGUUCGUGUAGCUCUUGCAAAGGGUAUGAACUGGGAUGACCUUGCUCGGAUGGUGAAGGAAGAAAAGAAAGCUGGAAACCCAGUAGCUGGUCUCAUUGACAAGCUUCAUCUCGACAGGAACUGCAUGACUUUACUGUUAAGCAACAAUCUUGAUGAAAUGGAUGAUGAUGAGAAGACACUCCCUGUGGAUAAGGUUGAAGUUGAUUUAGCUCUCUCAGCACAUGCCAAUGCUCGGAGGUGGUAUGAACAGAAGAAAAAGCAGGAGAGCAAACAGGAAAAAACUGUAACUGCCCAUGAAAAGGCUUUUAAAGCUGCAGAGAGAAAGACUCGCCUACAGCUUAAUCAGGAAAAAACUGUUGCCUCAAUUUCACAUAUGCGUAAAGUCCACUGGUUUGAGAAAUUUAAUUGGUUCAUUAGCAGUGAGAACUAUUUGGUUAUCAGUGGACGUGAUGCACAGCAAAAUGAGAUGAUAGUGAAGCGUUAUAUGUCAAAAGGAGAUCUAUAUAUACAUGCUGAUCUGCAUGGAGCUUCUAGUACAGUUAUCAAGAAUCACAAGCCUGCACAACCAGUUCCACCUCUGACCCUAAACCAAGCUGGAUGUUUCACCGUCUGCCAUAGCCAGGCCUGGGAUUCGAAAAUUGUUACUAGUGCCUGGUGGGUUUAUCCUCAUCAGGUUAGUAAAACUGCUCCUACAGGCGAAUAUCUGACAGUAGGGAGUUUCAUGAUCCGUGGAAAGAAAAAUUUUCUUCCACCACACCCUCUUAUCAUGGGUUUUGGCCUACUAUUUCGCUUGGAUGAGAGUUCCUUGGGAUCUCAUUUAAAUGAAAGAAGAGUAAGAGGAGAGGAGGAAGCAGCAGAUGAUUAUGAAGAAACUGGCCCUCUUGAAGAUAAAUCUGAUUCAGAGUCUGAGAAGGAUGUCACUGAUAUAGAACCUGCCACUGACUUGGAAAGGAAUGGUAAUUUGUCAGCAGAUUCACACAAACCCCUACCAGAAGACUUCCCUGCAGAUCCAUCCCAAACUAGUUUGGCUACUACCGAUGCCGAAACUGCAAUUUCACAGGAUUUUCCUGCGAAAGAGACAAGUACAUUGAAUAUGGUUGAUAGGGAGAUAUUAUCAGAUGUUGGUGGAAAUGGCUUAGCAUCUGUCACCCCUCAGCUUGAGGAACUUCUUGAUCAAGCUCUGGAACUUGGACCUGUUGCUAAAUCAAGUAAAAAAUAUGGAAUUGAGAAGUCUCAAAUUGAUUUAGACACUGAACAACAUUUUGAACAAACCAAAACUGCAGUAAGGGAAAAACCUUAUAUAUCAAAAGCUGAGAGACGAAAGCUUAAAAAAGAACAGAAACCUGGAGAAGAAGAUUCAAAUGUUGAACAUGGAAAGGAUGAAUCAAAGCUAAAAGAUAUUUCUGCUAAUCUACCAGUGAAAGAAGAUCAAAAUUUGAAAAAAGGUGGUGGUCAAAAAAUCAGUCGUGGACAGAAGGGAAAACUUAAGAAGAUAAAGGAGAAGUAUGCUGACCAGGACGAGGAAGAAAGGAGCAUCCGAAUGACAUUGUUGGCUUCUUCUGGAAAAUCAAUCACGAAGGAAGAGACAUCAUCUGAAAAUGAUGCAUUGGACAAAGGGAAAAAACCUGGCAGUGGUCCUUCGGAUGCUCCAAAAAUACCUUCUGAUGCUCCAAAAAUAUGUUACAAGUGUAAGAAGGCAGGUCACUUAUCUCGGGAUUGUAAGGAUCAACCAGAUGAUCUUUUGCAUAGGAAUGCAGUUGGUGAAGCUGAAGAGAAUCCCAAAACAACUGCUAUUGACACUUCCCAAGCAGAUAGGGUGGCAAUGGAAGAAGAUGAUAUUAAUGAAAUAGGAGAAGAGGAGAAAGAAAAAUUAAAUGACGUAGAUUACUUAACGGGGAAUCCACUUCCUAAUGACAUUCUCUUAUAUGCUGUUCCUGUCUGUGGUCCUUACAGUGCAGUUCAGUCUUACAAAUAUCGGGUGAAGAUAAUUCCUGGACCGACCAAGAAAGGGAAAGCUGCAAAAACUGCAAUGAACCUAUUCAGCCACAUGUCAGAAGCAACAACCCGGGAGAAGGAGUUGAUGAAAGCCUGUACAGAUCCAGAGCUAGUUGCUGCAAUUGUUGGUAAUGUGAAAAUAUCGGCAGCUGGCCUUACGCAAUUAAAGCAAAAACAAAAGAAAGGCAAGAAGAGCAGCAAACAAGAGAGUUAACCAACACAACACAUGGAUCCAUCUUCUACAGUUUGAAGACUAACUGCACCUCACGCAGUUUUAAUCUUAUGUCCGUCCUCUGCAACUCUAGUUCUAUUUUUGUUCUCUAUUCAUACUAUAACCAGGACUAAAACUGCAUGUCCCUGCAGUUUUCUUUCCAAUCCUGAAACCUGGAUCCUAAAACCCCAACCCCGUGUAGGAUUUACUCAGAUCUCUUUCGCGACUUCCUCCGCAGGCUGUCUCGGCCAUACGCUGCUGUAGAAGGCAAUUUAUGAUUCUUUGCGUCGCUGUCAGAUUCACUUCCGAUGCCCAUGCAUCUCACACUUUGUUUUCCAUCGGUGUAGAAUUUGUGCGAAUCAAUUUUUUUUUGUUUAGAUUUCCCUUUUGAUUCUGCAAUUCCGUGAUUUGAUCGUGGCAUUGCUUGCACUCCAACUAGUGAAAGAAAAGAACACGUAAAGCGAGGUGGAAGUGUGAAAUUGAAGAAGGCGGUGGUUAUCAACAAUGACAAGUACAGCAUUGGAACAAAACUCUCCCGAGGAACUGGCGCUGGAAGAGAGGGAAUGGGAUGCAGAGGAAUUUAGAUCUGCUAUCAUUUGUAUUAUUUUUUUUUUAAUGAACUUCUCUUUUUUAGUCAUUCUUUCUGAAAAUGUGAUCGGAUUUAGUGGUUUUUUGUGUGGCUUUUUUUGAAACAAUGUAUUUCUUAAUUGUUGUUUGUAAUGUUGGAAAUGUUAAUGUUGUUGACGAUGAGACGAUGUGGUUGAAGUUGUCUUUGUUGGGAGCAGUAGGUGCACCCAUCGGAGAAUAAGAGGUAAGGGAGAGAGAAAAAGGAGAAGAAAAUAUAUGGUGCACUGAAUUACUAUGUGCAUGUGAUAAAUCCAACAAUGUCUAAAAGUGGUCCACAGAAA